rnacentral:lncRNA from 1 species
GCUUUCUGCAGGAACAAACCUUAGUUGACCUAGAUCCCACUGUACAUGCCUAAGAGCUGGCUGGCUUCUUCCACUUGUGAAUUACUUGUGUUUCUAAGGAGCCUUUUUUACUCUUUGUCACAGGUUUUAGGAAAUCUCAUCUUCUGUGUUGUCACCAGGAUCUCUCUGGACUCCUCUUAGCUCCUGAAUUCUUGUCAUCUGCAUGGAGAAUUCAGAUGAGACACACAGAACACAGCAUAAGAGACAGACUGUGUAGAGAACAGUGAAAUGCACUCAUGGACAGUGGCUAAAGAGACAGCUGUCUCCUCCAUUUAAGGUCCCCGGUAUGAUCACCCGCAGAGGCCGGGAUGCACAUUGUCUUCCUUCCAUUGUUUGAAGAUUGAGAGGAAAGUAAGGAAGAAGGCCAAAGAUGCUCAAGACUGUUGUCACUCAGAGCUGAACAUCCCGCAGAUAGAUGCAUCCUACAAAGAGCCCUUCCUCCACUGAAUAAGGAUCUCCCCAGCCCUAGGAUAGACUAGACAUCUACCCCUGUCACCAGCGUUUGAUUGCAGCCUCUGCUGGGAUCAGGUCUCCUGCAACUUUCAAUCAAGGGUCAAAAGGUCAAAUGAUCUACUUGUUCCUGAGUGAGCUCCUCACAUCUGUCCACGGAUCAACACACAGUUAGAGAGAAGACAAAUCAUCAGAGAAACUGAAGGAGGAGCUGCUCCUGACUCAUACUUUUCAGAGUUCUGCCACAGAGGGAGAGGAGUCACCUGCCUUGUCUGGGGAUCAGCAAAUCUGGAUUCUAUUUAUACAUUCCCUUUAACCUGUCUGCUCUCAGUUCUGUCUUCAUCCCAGAUUUAGAAAGAUCAGAUAUCUCCAGUGUUUCAGCCUUCCAAAUGCAAGCUGCUAAUUUGCUCUUCACAUUUACCUAUUUUUUUUUCUUCAGGGUUAAACUUUUUCAAGUCUGGAAAACUCAGUUAUCACGAGUCCACUGCCUUUGCUGAUUCCAGGUCUCUUGCAAUAUUCUUCAUUCCCAACCUGCUAGUUUCAUGAUCUAAUCCAUGUUUAAUAGUACAGUAGAAGAAAAUGAAGGUGACUGUCUAGCACACACAAUCUCAGCAUUCAAGGAAGAAGCACGUAGACCUCUGUGAGUUCAAGGUUAGCCUGGUCUACAUAGCAAACAAACAAAUAAAAUAAUACACAUAUGUAUAGAAGUACGCAUACACACACAAAUGGAUGAACUCUAGUAAGAUGGCUUGGUGGUUAAGAGCAUUCUUAAGUAAUAUUCUUAGCAUAUUUGGUUCUGUCCUAUGUGUUAUACCAAAUAAACACAAGGAAACCCUGGGUAAGUGUAGUGUAUGGGUAAGGCUAAGAGUAAUGGUAAAGGAAAGGGUAAGAGAAAGUAAGGGUUAGGAUGGGGUAAAUCUAACUGUUACAGACAUUUCCCCUGAAACUGUUUUCAUGAGUCAUCUGCCUUUAGUUAUCUCUACAAUGGAAGUAGACUUCUUGCUGUUCUUGCAGAAGGCCAAUGAUGGAUUCCCAGUACCCACAUGGUUGCUCAUAAUUAUCUAAAACUCCAGUUUCAGGAGAUCUGGCACAGCCUUUGAGCUGCUAUGAGAACCAGGCACAUACAUAGUACACAAACAUAAAUGCAGAUUAAUACUCAUACAUAUAAAAUAAAAACAAAUCAAUGUUUUUUAAAUAAAAAUACCAUCCUUAAUGGGAAUGUAAAUUUUCACAAGGCUGGUUGGGUUCCAUAACAAUCACUAGGGAAUUUUAUCUGGGUAUCAGGAAUUUAAUUCUAAAAUAACAGUGGCAAAUUCGCCUAUAGCUAGAGCUUAGUCAUAGAUUUGUUGUGUCUAAGCAAACAACUUUUCAAUGCCAUAGGAAUAAAUGAUUAAUAUUAAUUACUUAUUUAAUGGCCAAAACACCUUUUAAAUACACACAUCUACACAUAGCCCAAUAUAACCUCCAAUGUGAUGGUUAUCAACAAGCAGAGUCAAUGUGAGCUGAAUACAUCUCCAGGGUGAAGCUCCCUUCUAAAGAGGCCUGAGAACCUUUCAGCCCUUACUCUUCUGUUGUGAGGACACCUACAGUACCAUCCAGGAAGAUUGGUCCUCACCAGACACCAGAUCGUCCUUAGGCUUCAUCCUCCACACCUAUGAGAUACCUAUGUUGUUUGCGAAUUUCCUAGCCUAGAGUUGAAAUAGCUCAAAUGGAUGAUGAUGUCUCCAGUAACUCUCAGGGAACAGUGGGAAGCUGGCAUUCCAGAGGCACAGCAUCCUCUUCCCCCUCCAGGCUGCUGUGCAGCCUCCUCUUAUUCUGUCCACUUUCUCCAAUGAAGCAAAGAUUCUCUGAGAUUUGAUUGGGAGACAGCUGCUCUCAUGAAUUAGCUAUCUCUGAAUGUAGAAAAUUGCUGUGUUCUUCCAAACCCUCUUCCCAGCUGGUUAAAUGAAGACAAACUGAGACAAUUAUUAUAAUUUUGUGCAGUUGUGGGAGUUCUUCAGAAAAAGUUACAGUAUUUCUAUAUUUUUUACAUUAGAGAUAAAAAAGAAAUAAAUGAGUUCAAUUUGCUCAGUGCAUCAAUUACAGGGCUUAAAUUGUCUCAGAGAUAAAGGAGAAGUUGAGGAUUUGGAAUUCAGAGCCAUUUUGGGAGAGACCAACUCCUCGGUCAGUAACUUAAGCAGAACGAUGUGGGAGUCGUGGGAUCCCAGAUCUUCUUUGCUGAGCUGCUUCCUUCUUGCAUUUGCUAAGUUCUCAGGAGGGGAGUGGCCGCAAGGUGAGUCAGAGUGUGAGCUUCUAUGACAACAGUGGCAUUAUUUCAAAAGGGAAUAACAUCUUGUUGAGGUUUUAUCCCCAUGCAUCUCAAACCUGUCCUUCAGGGGGCUUAUAAGAAAGGGAAAUGGUUAAUAAAAAAGCCCACCCAUUGGAUGUUCCAUAGAGAUGGUCCAUGCUUUGUAGCAUCACCAAGUACGGCUGCCUGGUUUUUAGAAUGCAGAGAUGCUUCAAAUUUAAGAGGAGGCAUGCCUCUCAGGGCAUUGUCACUUCGUACAUGUGACAAAUACCCUUCAAACUUUGGCAUGUGUACAUUCCUUCUCAAAGUCAGAAGAAUUCUCUCUCCAAGAAUAUGCAAUAAGGACACUCUGUAGUAAGAAGUCUGAGAUCCCAAGAGUAGAUUAAAGUUAGGGACUACUAGCUGGGAAUAAAUGUAUAAAAAUACUUCAGAGAUUGCUGUGGUUGUUGAAAUGAAGUGGUAUAAACAAAGCACCCGAAGAUAGCAUGGGUGUCAUUGUAAUGUCCCAUGUAAAUAAAAAUCUAUUCUGUU